AUUGAACGCUGGCGGCAGGCCUAACACAUGCAAGUCGAACGAGUGGCGGACGGGUGAGUAAUGUCUGGGAAACUGCCUGAUGGAGGGGGAUAACUACUGGAAACGGUAGCUAAUACCGCAUACCAUCAGAUGUGCCCAGAUGGGUUUAGCUAGUUGGGGGGGUAACGGCUCACCAGGGCGACGAUCCCUAGCUGGUCUGAGAGGAUGACAAGCCACACUGGAACUGAGACACGGUCCAGGCUCCUACGGGAGGCAGCAGUGGGGAAUGUUGCGCAGUGGGGGCAAGCAUGAUGCAGCCAGGCCGCGUGUAUGAAGAAGGCGUUCGGGUUGUAAAGUACUUUCAGCGGGGAGGCGUUACCCGCAGAAGAAGCACCGGCUAACUACGUGCCAGCAGCCGCGGUAAUAC
rnacentral:rRNA from 1 species